rnacentral:tRNA from 1 species
UCCCUGGUGGCUCAGACGGUAAAGCAUCUGCCUGCAAUGCAGUAGACCUGGGUUCGAUCCCUGGGUCGGGAA